UCUUCAUUUUUUAGACAGCCUGAGCUUAACAGCAAUCUGCAUUCUGAAGUCGUUCCAGACUCAAUGUUCUUCCUCUUCUCAACUGUCCCGAACACCAAAGCACCUGAAUGUUAAAAUGGUAUUGUUGGCUUUCCUCAAAUUCUGUUCAAUAAUCGUUGUGGCCAGUCCAGGUCUAGGUUUGCAAAGGUUGAUGCCAUGUUUUGUUAAACUCCUGAGCGUGAAAACCUAGAUCAAGCUGACAUUGAAGCCAACAGCAUCCCUCAGGAGUUUCCAUCAAAGAUGUAUGGCGAAGGCCAUGCAACUGGCUCAAAUGUCAGGCAAGAAAUUGCCAACUUGAAAUCCUGGAUGGGGCAGACUUCCAUUCUCAAGAUUGCCAGCACAAAAGAAAAAGAAGAGAGAAAAGCCAAAGUACGAACAGCAGUCUUUUAAAUGCUGAGGACCUGGAAAGGCCUGCUGUGUCACAUUAUAUUUGUGGAUUUCAAACUGCAAUAUGCAGAUGUAUGCACAUGAAUAAUUUUGAGCACAGAAGCUUUAAUCCCCUUGUACAAAAUAGAAGCAGUCAAAUGUGUAAAGUUACAACGUGUUCACGGUUUGGUGACUGAAGCUUAAGACCAAGUUCUGGGACACUGACCUUGUUUUCAAACAUCUUAAGUUUUUAGCAUAUGUGCAUGAGAAAAUAACUCUUCUGGUUUCAUGCUCUCUGUUUGCCUUCUUCCACAGACAUCUGGGAAAUCUGACUUUUUAUAUACUAGAUUAUUUUAAUACUAGAGAGCAAGAUAUGAAUUACCGUUUUUUAACUCUGUAGAUUUUUCUACUCUAAUUAUACAGUUGAUAUUCUUUGUGACAAUAUGCCUGCACUUUGUGGACUUUAAAUGAAAGAUAGAUAGAGAAGGUACACAGCUCAGAAGUAGUUGAUUUCAAUCUUCAAUGCAUUCACUAAAUAAUUCAGGAUCUCUAAUGGGAAUCUGAUCUUACCACAGGAGUGGGGAUGAGGUGCACUCAGUUGCCAGGGUCUGCAGCAAAAUGGCUAGGGAACAACAAUGGAGCAAAAGGUGAAAAAAAUCUGUAAACUACCGUUGAAUUCUCUUUGCUUUUCUAGAAUCACAUUGCAUCUUCCUGGAGCUGCUGUUGCUGAUGGUUAGGGAGGGCAAGCGAAAGAAAUUGGUAUUUAUAAUGUAUCUGAAACAAACAAGCAGGCUCAGCUCAAGGUGACCUCUUAAAUGGUGUA